AAUGAAUUGCCUGAUAAAAAGGAUUACCUUGAUAGGGUAAAUAAUGUAAUACCUAUUACAUUCAUUA
rnacentral:tRNA from 1 species